rnacentral:rRNA from 1 species
GGUUAAGCGACUAAGCGUACACGGUGGAUGCCCUGGCAGUCAGAGGCGAUGAAGGACGUGCUAAUCUGCGAUAAGCGUCGGUGAGGUGAUAUGAACCGUUAUAACCGGCGAUUUCCGAAUGGGGAAACCCAGUGUGUUUCGACACACUAUCAUUAACUGAAUCCAUAGGUUAAUGAGGCGAACCGGGGGAACUGAAACAUCUAAGUACCCCGAGGAAAAGAAAUCAACCGAGAUUCCCCCAGUAGCGGCGAGCGAACGGGGAGGAGCCCAGAGCCUGAAUCAGUGUGUGUGUUAGUGGAAGCGUCUGGAAAGGCGUGCGAUACAGGGUGACAGCCCCGUACACAAAAAUGCACAUAUUGUGAGCUCGAUGAGUAGGGCGGGACACGUGGUAUCCUGUCUGAAUAUGGGGGGACCAUCCUCCAAGGCUAAAUACUCCUGACUGACCGAUAGUGAACCAGUACCGUGAGGGAAAGGCGAAAAGAACCCCGGCGAGGGGAGUGAAAAAGAACCUGAAACCGUGUACGUACAAGCAGUGGGAGCCUCUUAAUGGGGUGACUGCGUACCUUUUGUAUAAUGGGUCAGCGACUUAUAUUCUGUAGCAAGGUUAACCGAAUAGGGGAGCCGAAGGGAAACCGAGUCUUAACUGGGCGUUAAGUUGCAGGGUAUAGACCCGAAACCCGGUGAUCUAGCCAUGGGCAGGUUGAAGGUUGGGUAACACUAACUGGAGGACCGAACCGACUAAUGUUGAAAAAUUAGCGGAUGACUUGUGGCUGGGGGUGAAAGGCCAAUCAAACCGGGAGAUAGCUGGUUCUCCCCGAAAGCUAUUUAGGUAGCGCCUCGUGAAUUCAUCUCCGGGGGUAGAGCACUGUUUCGGCAAGGGGGUCAUCCCGACUUACCAACCCGAUGCAAACUGCGAAUACCGGAGAAUGUUAUCACGGGAGACACACGGCGGGUGCUAACGUCCGUCGUGAAGAGGGAAACAACCCAGACCGCCAGCUAAGGUCCCAAAGUCAUGGUUAAGUGGGAAACGAUGUGGGAAGGCCCAGACAGCCAGGAUGUUGGCUUAGAAGCAGCCAUCAUUUAAAGAAAGCGUAAUAGCUCACUGGUCGAGUCGGCCUGCGCGGAAGAUGUAACGGGGCUAAACCAUGCACCGAAGCUGCGGCAGCGACACUAUGUGUUGUUGGGUAGGGGAGCGUUCUGUAAGCCUGUGAAGGUGGCCUGUGAGGGGUGCUGGAGGUAUCAGAAGUGCGAAUGCUGACAUAAGUAACGAUAAAGCGGGUGAAAAGCCCGCUCGCCGGAAGACCAAGGGUUCCUGUCCAACGUUA